rnacentral:rRNA from 1 species
AAGGGCACCACAAGAACGCGUGGAGCAUGUGGCUUAAUUUGACUCAACGCGGGGAAUCUUACUGGGUCCGGACACACUGAGGAAUGACAGGUUCUGGUUUUUGCUAAACCGUUUUUUAAAUAAAUGAAGUAAUUCAGGUACUUUUGAAAACUAAAAAGUAACAAUCAACAUAAAUACGCAAGUCCUUUCAUGAUUGUGUGAUAGGUGGUGCAUGGCCGUUCUUAGUUCGUGGAGUAAUUUGUCUGCUUAAUUGCGUUUACCUAAGUAUGGGGUAAAACGUAUAGUGUAUUAUCUGAAUGUUUUAACCGAGCAGGACGAUUUGCACUAGUCUUCCUCAAAUGGCAACGAACGUGACCGCAGCCCAUUGUUGCCUCUCUUUACACCCUAGUAUCUUAGUUUUGUCUUUGACAUGCUUUGAUUGGUGUUUUGAGGGAAUCUAUGGGGACUGUUGGUUCUUAAAAACAGAGGAAGGGUGCGGCAAUAACAGGUCUGUGAUGCCCUCAGAUGUCCCGGGCUGCACACGUGCUACAAUGAUUUGUGCAGUAAGAAUAUUUUCUAAGAUUCAUAGUAAACUUUGAGAUUAAACGUGCUCAUUGUUAACGCUUUGGACUAGCCUCCUUGGAGACUUAGUUUAGGGUAAUCAAUUCGAAGUAUAAAUUCCAAAAACAAGCUCAUGUUUUCACACUUGAGUUCACUCUUCGGAGUGUCUCAAGGUUCGUGUGCAGUGACUAUUCUUAAUUCAUGGUGGGGACAGACCUUUGUAAUUAUCGGUCUCGUUUUCAACUAGGAAUGCCUUGUACGGGUUGGUUUAACAAACCACCCGGAAUAUGUCCCUGCCCUUUGUACACACCGCCCGUCGCUCUUACCGAUGGACUAUUCUGUGAGUUUUGGGGACUGGUUAUUUGAAAGCGGAGUGGUGACACUGGCGCGCUUAUAAUUCGGAAAUUGAAACGAACAGUGUGGUCUAAAGGAAGAGAAGUCGAACAAGGCA